GUGCUUGCUUUGGCUGCACGUGUACUAAAAUUGCAACAACACAGAGAUUAGCGUGGCCCCUGCACAAGGAUGAAAUGCAAAUUCAUGAAGCGUUCCAUAUUUUU
ensembl:snRNA U6 U6 spliceosomal RNA